AGUGAACGCUGGCGGUAGGCCUAACACAUGCAAGUCGAACGGCAGCACAGUAAGAGCUUGCUCUUACGGGUGGCGAGUGGCGGACGGGUGAGGAAUACAUCGGCAUCUACUUUUUCGUGGGUGAUAACGUAGGGCAACUUACGCUAAUACCGCAUACGACCUACGGGUGAAAGCAGUGGAUCUUCGGACCUUGCGCGAUUGAAUGAGCCGAUGUCGGAUUAGCUAGUUGGCUGGGUAAAGGCCUACCAAGGCGACGAUCCGUAGCUGAUCUGAGAGGAUGAUCAGCCACACUGGAACUGAGACACGGUCCAGACUCCUACGGGAGGCAGCAGUAGGGAAUAUUGGACAAUGGGCGAAAGCCUGAUCCAGCAAUACCGCGUGAGUGAAGAAGGCCUUCGGGUUGUAAAGCCCUUUUGUUGGGAAAGAAAAGCAGCAGGUUAAUCCCCCGCUGUUCUGACGGUACCCAAAGAAUAAGCACCGGCUAACUUCGUG
rnacentral:rRNA from 1 species